CCCGCAUGCGCACGCGCACACGAAUGCGGGCGCACACGAAUGCGGGCACACCCUUGAGUCCCCUCCACAGCCGCGGUUUGAUCCCAGCGGUCCAGUCGGCCGGUGCCGCCCAUCCGCCCCGCCCCCUAGACGCACGUCCGCUCGCCCGGCGCCCGAGCCAGUCCGCGCGCACGCCGUCUGCGCCCCGAAAGCCCCGCCCCAAGGCGCGCCCGCCCACCGCUCUCCACGUGCUCGCUGGAGGGCGGUGCGAGGGGCCGAGCCGACAAGAUGUUCUUGCUGCCUCUUCCGGCUGCGGGGCGAGUAGUCGUCCGACGUCUGGCCGUGAGACGUUUCGGGAGCCGGAGUCUCUCCACCGCAGACAUGACGAAGGGCCUUGUUUUAGGAAUCUAUUCCAAAGAAAAAGAAGAUGAUGUGCCACAGUUCACAAGUGCAGGAGAGAAUUUUGAUAAAUUGUUAGCUGGAAAGCUGAGAGAGACUUUAAACAUAUCUGGACCACCUCUGAAGGCAGGCAAGACUCGAACCUUUUAUGGUCUGCAUCAGGACUUCCCCAGCGUGGUGCUAGUUGGCCUCGGCAAAAAGGCAGCUGGAAUCGACGAACAGGAAAACUGGCAUGAAGGCAAAGAAAACAUCAGAGCUGCUGUUGCAGCGGGGUGCAGGCAGAUUCAAGACCUGGAGCUCUCGUCUGUGGAGGUGGAUCCCUGUGGAGACGCUCAGGCUGCUGCGGAGGGAGCGGUGCUCGGUCUCUAUGAAUACGAUGACCUAAAGCAAAAAAAGAAGAUGGCCGUGUCGGCGAAGCUCUAUGGAAGUGGGGAUCAGGAGGCCUGGCAGAAAGGAGUCCUGUUUGCUUCUGGGCAGAACUUGGCACGCCAAUUGAUGGAGACGCCAGCCAAUGAGAUGACGCCAACCAGAUUUGCCGAAAUUAUUGAGAAGAAUCUCAAAAGUGCUAGUAGUAAAACCGAGGUCCAUAUCAGACCCAAGUCUUGGAUUGAGGAACAGGCAAUGGGAUCAUUCCUCAGUGUGGCCAAAGGAUCUGACGAGCCCCCAGUCUUCUUGGAAAUUCACUACAAAGGCAGCCCCAAUGCAAACGAACCACCCCUGGUGUUUGUUGGGAAAGGAAUUACCUUUGACAGUGGUGGUAUCUCCAUCAAGGCUUCUGCAAAUAUGGACCUCAUGAGGGCUGACAUGGGAGGAGCUGCAACUAUAUGCUCAGCUAUCGUGUCUGCUGCAAAGCUUAAUUUGCCCAUUAAUAUUAUAGGUCUGGCCCCUCUUUGUGAAAAUAUGCCCAGUGGCAAGGCCAACAAGCCGGGGGACGUUGUUAGAGCCAAAAACGGGAAGACCAUCCAGGUUGAUAACACUGAUGCUGAGGGGAGGCUCAUACUGGCUGAUGCGCUCUGUUACGCACACACGUUUAACCCGAAGGUCAUCCUCAAUGCCGCCACCUUAACAGGUGCCAUGGAUGUAGCUUUGGGAUCAGGUGCCACUGGGGUCUUUACCAAUUCAUCCUGGCUCUGGAACAAACUCUUCGAGGUUUGCCUUUGAAUUGAAAAUGAACCACAGCAAUAGAUUGAGUUCAGUGGCAUUGGGUUUUCCACAAAUGCUCCUAAAGGAGAGGAUGAUGCCCCCUGCUCCCCUCCGGUAGCCUCAGCGUCCUGUGAAAAUAUCUCCCGAACACUGUGGUCAUAGUUUUAGAAUCCCUGAGGUAGAGAUGGUUUUGAAGAUGGCUUUGUGGAGCAGCGUUUGUGACUGCGUGUCGUGAGUCAUAUAAGGGAGUUCACCCUGCAUCGAUGAGGAUGUCUUCAGACCGCUGUGCUCUGUGCCUCCCUCCAUGCCCUUCACAGCCAGCCUCUUCCCAGCAGUCACCCUCAUUUCCACACACACACACACACACACACACACCCCCUCACUUACUGCCAUUGGUUUUCGAAUGUCCACACCACUGUUAGCCUAACUCAGCCUGUCUUGAGGCAACAGGUGACUCUGUGGCCUCCUGACACCUGGUUCAGCUUCUGUGAUAAUCCUUUCUUGGGCUGCCUCCUCCUGUGAUUCUCCUGCUCCUGUCUCCUGAUGUGUUUGUUCCCUUUGGCCGCCCUUUGGCUGGUGUUCAAUUCAAGGCCAUAGGCUCUUCCUACUCUACACAUUCCUCACAUGGAAGCUCCAGCCAACACAUGUUGCCUGAUGGCUCCCAUCUCUCUCCCGAGUCCCAGCCUCUGUGUACCCAUGUGGCUGCUAGACAGCUCCAGCUGGCUGCUUACUCAUUCAUUCAACUAGUAAUUAAUGGGAGCUUACUCUGUGCCAGUGGGAGGGGAGACAAACAUAAAAUGUCCCCAAAUAUAAUCUUGAGGGUGGUUGAAGGUCUAAACUUAUUUUCACUCUAAACUGCUUCUCCUUCAUAUAUGUCAUCAUUCAUGAAGCCCGAUUUUCCCAGUUCUGCAAUACUCAGCCCCAUCAUCUCCUUCCAGGCCGGGCCAGGAACUUCUCCUCUGGCCUCCCACAUAACCGUUAUCCCUCUCUUUCAUGGCACCCACAAUAUUGUUGUUUUGACUUUUAAAAAACAUUUAAGCUUUAAAAAAAAAUCUCAGUUAUAUGUGCAUAAAUCAACAAUCAGCAGCCCACAGUCUGUUUUCCAGAAGGCAGCCACUUUCAACCCUUGGCUGAUUCAUCUGGUACUUACUUAUGUCUUAAAAUAACAGCUUAUAUUGCUGCUUCUUGGUUUUUCACUUUUAGGUCUUUGAUUUUUUACCAGUGAGUUAAAUAAUCUGUUUAUGUAUCUGUUUCUCCUACUAGCCUGUAGGCCCUUGGGUGGCUCAGAUGGUAGUAUUUCAGCACACCUGGUGGUGCUCAGUAGUUCAGUAAAUGAUGAAUGAAUGAGUGGGUAAGUGAUGAAUGAAUGAAUGUGGUCACCCUGUCUCAGGAUUUCAGUGAUACAGGUCCAGUCAUGUGUUUCUGUCACAUAGAAGUGACCCACCACAUAAGAACUCUUUCACCCUAAUCAACCCACAAAGCCUGUAAUUGUAGUUUGAUGAUUUUAGCAAAAUGCCCUACAGAUUUGUGAAAUUGCUUCACAGCAUUCCCGGUUUCUUUUUAUUUUUUAUUUAUUUAUUUAUUUUUGAGACGGAGCCUCACUCUGUCACCAGGCUGGAGUGCCGUGGCACUCCGUUGGCUCCCUGCAACCUCCCCGUCCUGGGUUCAAGCAAUUCUCCUGCCUCAGCCUCCGGAGUAGCUGGGACUACAGGCGCGCACCACCACGCCCAGCUAAUUUUUUGCAUUUUUAGUAGAGACAGCGUUUCACCAUGUUGGCCAGGAUGGUCUCGAUUUCUUGACCUCAUGAUCCACCCGCCUCGGCCUCCCAAAGUGCUGGGAUUAUAGGCGUGAGCCACUGUCCCCAGCCUCCUGGUUUCUUUUAUAGUUCUAAAAUAAAUCUUUUAAUGAGUGGACACAAUUCUGAAACCUAUUUUCUAGUUUCAUGUUUUAGAGUAACAGGUUAGAACAACUCUUCCUUCAUGCAUUGAGCAUGUUAAUGCCAUGAAUUUCCCAGAACCUGCCUCAUCCACUCGUCCACCUGUCAUACCUGUUCUCUAGGCCAGCAUUGAAACAGGGGACCGUGUCUGGAGGAUGCCUCUCUUCGAACAUUAUACAAGACAGGUUGUAGAUUGCCAGCUUGCUGAUGUUAACAACAUUGGAAAAUACAGAUCUGCGGGAGCAUGUACAGCUGCAGCAUUCCUGAAAGAAUUCGUGACUCAUCCUAAGUGGGCACAUUUAGACAUAGCAGGCGUGAUGACCAACAAAGAUGAGGUUCCCUAUCUACGGAAAGGCAUGACUGGGAGGCCCACAAGGACUCUCAUUGAGUUCUUACUUCGUUUCAGUCAAGACAAUGCUUAGUUCAGAUACUCAAAAAUGUCUUCACUCUGUCUUAAAUUGGACAGUUGAACUUAAAAGGGUUUUGAAUAAAUGGAUGAAAAUCUUUUAACGGAGACAAAGGAUGGUAUUUAAAAAUGUAGAACACAAUGAAAUUUGUAUGCCUUGAUUUUUUUUUCAUUUCAAAGAUUUAUAAAGGUAAAGUUAAUAUCUUACUUGAUAAGGAUUUUUAAGAUACUCUAUAAAUGAUUAAAAUUUUUAGAACUUCCUAAUCACUUUUCAGAGUAUAUGUUUUUAAUUGAGAAGCAAAAUUGUAACUCAGAUUUGUGAUGCUAGGAACAUGAGCAAACUGAAAAUUACUAUGCACUUGUCAGAAACAAUAAAUGCAACUUGUUGUGC